UGCAGUCGAACGCUUCUUUUUCCNCCGGAGCUUGCUCCACCGGAAAAAGAGGAGUGGCGAACGGGUGAGUAACACGUGGGUAACCUGCCCAUCAGAAGGGGAUAACACUUGGAAACAGGUGCUAAUACCGUAUAACAAUCGAAACCGCAUGGUUUUGAUUUGAAAGGCGCUUUCGGGUGUCGCUGAUGGAUGGACCCGCGGUGCAUUAGCUAGUUGGUGAGGUAACGGCUCACCAAGGCGACGAUGCAUAGCCGACCUGAGAGGGUGAUCGGCCACAUUGGGACUGAGACACGGCCCAAACUCCUACGGGAGGCAGCAGUAGGGAAUCUUCGGCAAUGGACGAAAGUCUGACCGAGCAACGCCGCGUGAGUGAAGAAGGUUUUCGGAUCGUAAAACUCUGUUGUUAGAGAAGAACAAGGAUGAGAGUAACUGUUCAUCCCUUGACGGUAUCUAACCAGAAAGCCACGGCUAACUACG
rnacentral:rRNA from 1 species